rnacentral:lncRNA from 1 species
CCAUGGUACUACAAAAGGCCUGCCCACCACUGCCAUCUUUGCUGUUUUCAUACAAAAAUCAUCAAGCACUUCCCUGGGCAAGGAGAAGCAAGAAAACAAAAAAAUAUAAAUGUCAAGCAAGGAGAAAACGAAAAGACACCACCACUGCUGCUGCUCCAGCUGCCGCCCCUUCCCCUCAAGGUUUGUGCUUCUCAAUGUGCUCUGUUCCUCCACCUGAGCAUACCCCUCUUUUGCUUUAGCUCCUCCCCUCCCUGCUGCACCACCAAGCCUGGAUCCCAUCUUCCAUAUCAAGUGUGUGCUGGAAAGGGAGGAGAGAAGAGGGGGGAGCUUGUUCUCACACAACUGGCUAGCACUCUUCCUGGAAGAUUGGAUUGGGAAUGAUCAUGAAUUGAGGAUUUUCAAAUGCAGCUUCUGAUUGAUCAAGAGAAGGGAUAGAUAGGCCCAGGCUGUGAGAAAUCCCUCCACCCCAUUUUAC